AUGUCUAGAGGUAGAGAGGUUACAGAAAAAACUGUUAUGGUUGAUGAAGGAACAUCUUAUGGAUCAGAUGCAGACAUCCAAGUUUGGCCUAGCAAAUCCAAGGCUCCACCACCUCUUGAAGACAAUAUAAUUCCAAAUGCUGCUAAAAAAUCACAUUCAGGUACAUCCACCAAAAAUGCAUCAAAGAACAAGCCAAAGGAUGAAGCACAGCUUCUCAAUCACAACUCAAGACAAUUGACUAUGACCAUAAAAAAUUACUGUUACAUUUGUGGUAAGCCACAAAGCAAAAUAUCUCGCCACCUGAGAGUACAUACAACACACGCUGAAGUUGUACAUGUAUUUUCCCUACCUGAGCACUCAAAAGAGCGGAAAACACUAUUAGAAAAAAUGAGAAAUAAGGGAAAUUUUAGACAUAACAUUGCAGUUUUACAAGAUGGAACGGGACCAGUGAAAGUUAAGAGAAAACCUAAAAGUAAAGCAUUGGCAGGAAAGUUUAUUUCCUGUAUGCAUUGUCAGGGGAUGUACCUUCGGAAAGAAUUUUGGAGACAUGCCCGCAAAUGCCCCUGCAAGCCAGAAAAUAAAGAUACUGAAAAGGAACCUGGAAGAACCAGAGUGCUGGGUUUGGCUGCUGCUCUACAGACUGCAUCCAGUCACCAGAUUCCAGGUGGUGUGUGGAAGCUCCUGACAGCCAUGAAUCAGGAUGAGGUUGCUUCGGUUGUGCGAAAUGACCUGUGUAUCGUUCAGUUUGCCCAGUCCCUCUACAACAGACAUGGACAUGAUGCUACAAAGGGUGAAUACAUGAGACAGAAGCUCAGGGAAGUGGGUCGCUUGUUGGUGUGUCUGCGCUCAGAAUUCUCAAUACAAAACCUGGAGGAGGCUGUGAAACCUGCUAACUUCCAGAGAGUUGUGCAAGCUGUGAAGAAAGUUGCAGGUUUUGAUGAAGAAAAACAGCAGUACGGAACACCAAGCCUUGCCCUUAAAUUGGGACAUACACUCAACAAAAUCUGUGACAUUAUCCAUUGUAGGGCUCUCAUGGCAGAAGACGAAGAACUGGCCAAGACCACUGACAUAUUCAAGAAGCUGUAUACCUCCAAGUGGUCUGAGUUGGUCUCUCAUGGUGCCUUGAACACACCGAGUGAUGCAAAGUACAACAAGCCAUCAACAUUACCCUUCACUGAAGAUGUUCAGAUUCUUCAUCAGUACCUUGAGAAAUCUGCAGAAAGUGCCUUCUUCACCUUGAAGGAGAUGGCUAGCCCUUACAAUUAUGCUCAACUUGCAAAAGUUACACUUGCACAAAUCAUUGUGUUCAAUCGAAGAGGUGCUGGCGAGGUAUCAAAAAUGCUCCUCAAAAGUUUUAACGAAAGAGACAACAGCAAGCUCCAUGAAGAUGUUGCCAUGGGUUUGUCAAAGAUGGAACAGAGGCUCUGCAACUAUUUCAGUCGAGUCGAUAUCAUGGGCAAAAGAGAUCGAAAGGUUGCGGUUCUUCUCACACCAAGUGUGGUGAAUGCUCUUUCACUCCUGAUCAGUAAAAGAAGUGAAUGUGGUGUUUGUGCCACAAAUGUCUUCCUGUUUGCAAGACCCAAAUCAAUGAGCUAUUACAGAGGACAGGACUGUUUGCGUGUUCAUGCCAGCCAGUGUGGAGCAAAGCACCCUGAGCACCUCAGAUCAACACAACUCAGGAAACAUGUCGCCACCCUCUCACAAGUCCUGAAUUUAAAACACAAUGAACUUGAUCAGGUUGCAGAUUUCCUGGGUCACGACAUUCGUGUUCAUCGAGAUUUCUACAGAUUACCAGUUCCCACAAUGCAGCUGGCAAAGAUUUCCAAACUACUUCUCUCAAUGGAGAAAGGACAUCUCUCCAGAAUGCAGGGGAAAUCAUUGGAUGAGAUUGAACUUGAGGGUUUGUAUACCUUGAGUGAUUAUUUAGUCUGA
ensembl:lncRNA